CUUGAAUGCCAAUUGAAGUUGGAGACAUAACCCCCUGCUUUUGGUGUUUCACAGCUGUCACCUCCAUUACUCUCAUCUUCUAUUCUCUCUAAACCAAAAGUAGAUCCAAAUACUCCCUGCUACGUGAUAAUCUUCUCCCCUUUCAUCAUUAUUCUUGCUUUUCGACAUCUUCUCCCCUUCCACCGCGAGAUCUCCCUGCUGCGUGAUAAUCUUUCUCACUUUUUCUCAUUUUCUGGUUUUUUUAUCUUUUGAAAUAACGUUGUGUAGUGACUCGGUCCGGUUCACCAAACCGGCCGAGUCACCGAGUUCAAGCGAGUCACGCCGGUUCUCACCGGUUCGACUGCACAACCGAUCCAACAAGUAGAUCGAACUGGACACACCACCGGUUCACGGUUCAACCGGUCUGACCGGCAGGUCCGAACCGGUUUUUAAAACUAUGUGCCAAACUUGUGAGGAUAGGAGGAUGAAAUUUGCAAUUAACAGAAACAAUCAAAUAUGAUUAACUAAUCUCAUCCAUUCACUAAAUCUAAGGGUAGACAACCAUGGAGGCUCAUAUUUUUGAUGGAGCAUGAUAUACGACUAUACGAGGAUUAACUCAACCCAACUUCGUUGAACGUUAGUGUUUAGUGUUCCUCGUAUCUCCCUCUCUUCUGCUUCCUCUCUCACCAGUUGUGGAAGAUAUGAAUUGGAUUCAGCGAAAGAUCCACCUUUACAAUGUGACAUUUGGGCUUUUUAUGUUGGAUUGGUGGGAGCGUUGUACUUUUAAUAUUUUGGUGAUUGUACUAAUGUGUUUUGUAGUACGCUACAUAGCCCAGUUCAUCAAGAGCAAAAUACCAUUCUAAUCUCAGCAUCUGAUUUAGCUCCAGUUUCCCAUUCUGCAUAUGCAAGUGUAGAAAUGAACACACUUUCUUAACCUUUAAAUAAAGUUGCAUUCAAAAGAUGAAUGCUUGAGAUCUUCAAUUAGUCUGUACUCUAUUGCUGAAGCUUCAUAGACUGCAAUUCUAACAUUAGCAGGUAUGUCUUUUUGUGGUAAAGAAGCAAAAUCAUUUUCUUGAGAAGAUGCCAAUGUAGAUUUUUACUUGAAGAUUCAAAUUAGUUGCAGCCAGUGUAAGUGGCAUACAGCUGGUUAGGGAAUAUAUGUUAUAGCAGUUAUGUACCGGCUUUGAAGUUUCUUAAAGCGGCCAAAAAAAUUAGCGAUGUACACGUCUGUGAUACACCUUCAUGAAUGUUAUUUAAACAUUAAUUUGUUUAUAAGGUUGUUUAUGAUGUUGAUUGGCAUUUUCUACAUUGUAAUAUUAUUUUAGAUGUUCAUUUUCUGUUUGUUUUGAGCAUUUGAAA